rnacentral:rRNA from 1 species
UACGAAGGGGGCUAGCGUUGCUCGGAAUCACUGGGCGUAAAGCGCACGUAGGCGGAUCUUUAAGUCAGGGGUGAAAUCCUGGAGCUCAACUCCAGAACUGCCUUUGAUACUGAGGAUCUCGAGUCCGGGAGAGGUGAGUGGAACUGCGAGUGUAGAGGUGAAAUUCGUAGAUAUUCGCAAGAACACCAGUGGCGAAGGCGGCUCACUGGCCCGGUAUGACGCUGAGGUGCGAAAGCGUGGGGAGCAAACAGG